GGAACGUUCUAGCCAUAGUGGAGAAAAACGAAAAGAUGUAAACUACAAAGUAUAAUCUAGCAGGAAAAUUAAAUGCUGGCAACAGCGCAGGAUCUCCAUCUCUCUCGACGUCUGUUCUCUGUAAAUGACUUCAUUGUCAACAUCCUCAUCGCGCCCGCCCCGUCGUCUCACCCUGGGCGUUAAUCUCGAAGACCCCGUUUCUGACGACGCCGUUCCUCGCUCGCUCGCUCUGCUGCUACUUCUUCUCAUUUCAGGACUCAGCGGCGAAACUCUUAAACUCCCCGCCCUUCCGUGCCCAACCUGUUUUCCCCGUCCCCCGAUGUUAGGGCGGCUUUCUUGUUUAAAAGGCUCCGUUUCAAGAGCAGCAGCGCUCUCCGGGGUUACGUCGCCUGGUGCGGGAGCACUGCGGGCACGGUGAGCUUGCGGUUGUGCCCCCUCUCCCGUUCUGUUUGGCUGUCAGUCCCCUCAUGGGGGAAGAACCCCUUCCUAGGAUGGGUUGCCUCCCCGGUGUUGGUAACUGACAAGGCAAGAGAGCUUCGGGGGAAAGGCUUUGUUCUGAAAACACAAGAGCUUUUUGAAGACGGUGAAAAAGUGUGCGCAGGAACUUAAUCAUCCCCUUGACGUAGGAGCGUCGCCAUCAAGCGCAUGGCGCCGGGUCAAGGCAGUCUGGAGUGUAUGGUCAUCUAAAUGGGUCUGAGCUGGCAGUGACUGACCAGGAAUGAGUUCUUGGGAUCGUAGUGGAUAGCUUGAUGAAGAUGUCAACCCAGUGUGCAGCAGCUGUGAAAAAGUUUUAUUUCAGGAAUUAUAGAUGCAUUUCAAAGCCACAGCAGAGGAUCCUGAGACACGGAGCACACAUCCAAGGACAAAGAACAGCAGGCAUGGCCAGACAGGAGUUGAAACCAUUGCAAGGUUUAUAAACUGCAGAAUUAAUACACAGUACAGGCAUGUUUCCUACAAGCUGUGACAUUUAUGUUAUCUCACUCUUCUCUGCCUAUAGAGAUAGCCUUGAAUCUGCCUCAGCAGAAAAGAUAGGUGGCAGACCAGCAAAAAGGAAGUAUAUAUUUGAUUUAUCUGAGAUGUUGUCCAUUUCAAAAAAUCCACAGGAAGAAAAAAAUCCUACAGAAAUACGUACAUUUAAGUUUCAAUCCUACACAUACUUACUUAGAAGUAAGUACCACUGAAUGCAGUAAUAUUUAUUUAUGGGUAGACAUGUGUUGGAUUGUUAAUCUACAGACAAACCAAGAAUGAA